UUUUUUUUUUAGUUUCUCCUCACACACACACACUCACUCACACUUUUUCCCUCCAAACAAUGACAAGGUUCAUAAAAGCUCAGUCAGAAUCUACCGGGAACAGAGCAAUGUCAGCACUUAAGGCUUCAGCUGAAUACGUCACCACUGGUAUUUCUGAGGACAUCUUUGGCCUGCCGAGCUUAGAGGAUGGAAGUGGGGUAAGUAAGGUUACACAAAAUUCAUCACUCUUCACCUCACUUGCACGUCUUUGGACUGUGGGAGGAAACCCACCCAGACAGGGGAGAACAUACAAACUCCACACAGAAAGGACCCGGACUGCUCCACCUGGGAAUUGCACUCAGGACCUUUUUGCUGUGAGGUCGGAGACUGUCCGGUACAGGGUGCUGUAGUGGUAGGAGGAUGCCGGCGUGUUGCCCUCGAGGCAGGUGGC